rnacentral:rRNA from 1 species
GGUUAAGUGACUAAGCGUACAUGGUGGAUGCCUUGGCAGUCAGAGGCGAUGAAGGACGUACUAACCUGCGAUAAGCCGUGAGCAGUCGGUAAGAGACAUUACGACUCACGGAUUUCCGAAUGGGGAAACCCACUUAGCAUAAGCUAGGUAUCGCUGCGUGAAUACAUAGCGUAGCGAGGCGAACCGGGAGAACUGAAACAUCUAAGUACCCCGAGGAAAAGAAAUCAACCGAGAUUCCCUCAGUAGCGGCGAGCGAACGGGGAUUAGCCCUUAAGCAUCUUGGAAGUUAGUGGAACGGUCCUGGAAAGGCCGGCAAUACAGGGUGAUAGCCCCGUACACGAAAACAACCUUGAUGUGAAAUCGAGUAGGGCGGGACACGUGACAUCCUGUCUGAAUAUGGGGGGACCAUCCUCCAAGGCUAAAUACUCCUGACUGACCGAUAGUGAACCAGUACCGUGAGGGAAAGGCGAAAAGAACCCCUGUGAGGGGAGUGAAAUAGAACCUGAAACCGUGUACGUACAAGCAGUGGGAGCCCUUCGGGGUGACUGCGUACCUUUUGUAUAAUGGGUCAGCGACUUACAUUUUGUAGCGAGGUUAACCGUAUAGGGGAGCCGUAGGGAAACCGAGUCUUAAGUGGGCGUCUAGUUGCAAGGUGUAGACCCGAAACCGGGUGAUCUAGCCAUGGGCAGGUUGAAGGUUGAGUAACAUCAACUGGAGGACCGAACCCACUAACGUUGCAAAGUUAGGGGAUGACCUGUGGCUGGGGGUGAAAGGCCAAUC